UACGGAGGGGACUAGCGUUGUUCGGAAUUACUGGGCGUAAAGCGCACGUAGGCGGAUUUGUAAGUCAGGGGUGAAAUCCCGGGGCUCAACCUCGGAACUGCCUUUGAUACUGCAAAUCUCGAGUCCGGAAGAGGUGAGUGGAAUUCCUAGUGUAGAGGUGAAAUUCGUAGAUAUUAGGAAGAACACCAGUGGCGAAGGCGGCUCACUGGUCCGGUACUGACGCUGAGGCACGAAAGCGUGGGUAGCAAACAGG
rnacentral:rRNA from 1 species